GGGAAACAUUGCACAAUUCAGUGACUGUAGUAAACAGCUGGUUCAUGUUCAGGUCAGUGAACGCACCAUCGUGUAGUCAGCAAAACUGUUGAAAAUUACUUUGUAAAAUGGUUGAAUUGAGACACGGCGCUCCUCGGCCUCACCACUGUCUCUAAAACACUGGCCAUCUCCAAAGUCUAGGCGGAGAACUUCCGAAUUAGAACUGGACAGUUAUUCACGUAUUUGUCACAACAGACAAGUUGGAGACAUACCUGAACAUCAAAGAUAUGUGUGGGGUGGACUCGUCAAAGGACGAGUACAGGGCUGUAUGUUGGUCUAGACGCAGUACAACAUUUGUAAAAUCUCAUCUGACAGAAAACAUGUCCUGCAAGUUUAUCUCUUCUGGAGGCUCCCGAGCACUGAUGAUGUCGCCUAGCCAGGGGAUGAAACGUUUGCAACAAAAACUUCGAGCUCGGCGAACAGAACCACAACAACUCAAUAUUAUGGAAACAGUGCACAAAUGAGAGUAAGGGGUUUUGAAAUGAGUCAGGUUACAACACCCAAGAACUAAUUAGUGUUAAGUGUUCUCUGUAUUGAAAAAUAAAUCUGCUGAAGGUUG